rnacentral:lncRNA from 1 species
GUUCUCUUUUAAUUCUCUGUUUAGGCUACUUUUCUUGUUAUGUUUUGAAUAUUCUAGUUGAAUUAAAAAGUGUAGAGAGGGAGGGAGGGUUGGCUUCAGUAUCCAAUUUUCAACUCAUUAGUAAAGCAUUACAACAAAUUCUUGAACAUAAUAUCAGAGUAAGACGGGGUUAAAUCAAGAGACAUGGACAAUAAGGAUUCAAAUAGUCGACUUUACUCGCCUCUUGAGCUCAGAGACCUUAUCAAUUUGCUGACCUAAUAUGAAAGCAAACUACAAACUAUCCAAACCACCACAACUCCAUUUGGCCACAGUCAUCCUAUCAGCUUGACUUUGCCCUCACAGGUUUUCGAUACCCUGCCAAUUCGUUUCAAUAACACGUACAUAAAACUAAAAAAAAACAGAAGGAUACCUGAGGGGAAAUGAUAAGUCAAAGACAUGGAAUAUACCAGGCUCAAGAGGCGGCAAUCCCUGUUGGAAAGUACCAAAGAAAGUCAGAAACAAGAAAAUUUCCGAGGGCAUGCAGUAUUACAUGAGCACUAAACUGAACUCCUUUCCUAAUGCAGAUAAUUCUUUCUACACAAGGAAAAUAUAUAAAGGCGUCAUUCUACUAUUACAAACCAGCUUGAUUUCAGAACGAUGGAAAUAUAACAACUGCACUAAUAGUUCAAGGCUGGUGUUGAGAAGUUUACAAAUUGGAUUAGCCCUUUGAAGGCUAAUAAAACAACCUAUGGGAACAAAAGUCUGGAGAACAAGCGGCUUUACUUGAUAAAUAGGAAGAGUGAGAGACGUGACAACUGUUAAUAUAACACAACUAAAUAUUUAUUCAUAAUAUGUGGGGAACGAGUUCCUCAGCAAGAAUUAAAUUCAGUCGAAAUGCCCGCGACUAUAUGACCAUAUGAUAAGCUACACAUGCAACCCUCACAAAUAUAUCAUGCCGUAACAAGUUAAAUUCUGAUAGUACAUCACAUGUUCAUACUUUAAGUUAAAUCAUUACCAAGAUACUGAAGUGAAGCUCUCCUGAUAACUUUUUACUACUUUUUGACAGUUAUUCAAGGGUUGUAACUAUUGCUCCCACAGCACGCUUGCUUUUACUUUCCAACUCAUUAUACCAAGUUGCAUAGGAAUGAUUUCUUUGAUAGAUUUAGUAUUUUCAAUUCUUCGUAGUUUGUUCUACGAAGUGGCUCCAAUACGAGUUCCAAGGAUUGAGAGUUACAGUCUUGACUCGAGUAGAAAAAGUGUCUAUGAACAUUUAUUUUUAGCACUUCAGCUAGCCUUCCAGAUGCAUACUCAUUACGAGUCUAAGAAGGAGGUGAAAUAAGGUCCCAUAAGGUGUGCAUUACUGAAAGUAACCUAGAUUAUUCCCAUACUUAGAACAAGGCUCAUUUAAGAGUUUUAUCAUAACGAGGCGGCGACAUGUCUUUAUUGUUGACAGAGACGAGGACUAGCAGCAUUACACAAGAAAAAGAUUGAGGUUAUUAAGAUUAUUAGCACCAAACAUGACAGAAAGUAUUUAGAGUCUAAAACGAGAACGACAGACGGAAACAUGAAUUCGACAUAUAUAAACAAAGGGAUUUCAUACCUCAAAGUGGUCCGAAAAGCUUCAGCCAAUAGCUUUAGCAAUAAAGGUGGAAUUGCCUGUAGAAAGCAGCUACAACUUCAGCAUUAACUGCAUUAAAUGUUUCUUAACAGCCAAAAGUCAGAUGCAUCACAAUUUAAGAAAUUAAUAACCAGAUAAUGAGAACAGAAAGAGCAGGGGAGUUGGACUUCUACAUACCCAACAAAAGAAAAAUAGUUCCUCAAGUUCUUAAUGAAGUUGGGACACUAACUUCAUCAGCUAAAAGGUUCUCGGCAUUAGGUUAUGUCUUGAUAAUGUUAGGGAGAUAGAUGCCCAAGCAGACCUCCAGGUUUCCGGGGGGGUGGGUGGGGUGGGUGGGGAGCGGCAUAUAGCUAAGAAGUUGGCAGAGGUAAAAAAGCAUAAAACAUCGUAGUGAUGUUCACUCACCAUUCUCAUCUAUAAUCGCACUGACAAUUUGAUCAAGCAUAACUAUGUUCUAGAGUAUAGCAAAGUUUGCUCCAAACAUCUUUUAAAAUUCGAGAAUUCUACAGUAGGUCAACUUUGUUCGGUUCUAAAGAGCUACUUAACUAUACAUAGGAGAAUCAAAAGUUUUACAUACAUUUAAUAAGAAAGGGGAUGCCAACUAUGAUUUUGACUAUUUAUGAGACAUGGGAGAACACUAUGGCCUACAUGUAUAUAAAUCGUAAAAUUAAGUACGUAAAAUUUCUCCUCGACGGUAUGCUACCUUGUGCACCAAAACCCGAUAACACUUCAGGAUUACGAGUCUCCAUUCUCCACUUUGUUCAAACUUCAGAUGUAUCAUCAGCAUGCAAUCUAUUACUUAGAUAUACCAAAGAUAAUUCCAAAGCGGCUGCUUCUCCUCAAACAUUAAUGAAUCUAGAAUAGCAGGCAUGCAAUCUAUUACUUAGAUAUACCAAAGAUAAUUCCAAAGUGGCUGCUUCUCCUCAAACAUUAAUGAAUCUAGAAUAGCAGGGCGUAUCCAGACAGGUUUUACAUUUGGACGGGUUCUCGUUUCAGAAGGAACUCCUUGCCAUCCGUAUGUGGAAGUGUUGAAGGAAACCCAAAGUCUGCCAAGUAACAAAAAACAGAAUAGGAUAAUACUGACAUAACAUGUUAAGAAACAGAAGCUCAAAAAUAGCAGGUCAGUAACAAGACGAUUUUAUCAAAGAUGAGUAUGAAAUCACUUACCAAGCAAUCCUAUCGUCGAGUUUUAGAAACAUAUCCAUUUCCUGCAAUAGAGGUUACUAAUCGUAAUCGGUAAAAUAAUUCAAAUUAGUUUCAUCUACGAUUUCGUGGAUGCACUAGUAAGCUAACUUAAUCUUCUAGAGUUCGAAUUUAUAGAUACAUACACCAUAACAGUCAAUAAAAGAACAAUUUCCAGAAAUUACAUUAUCAAAAUCUUCCCAACUUCUUCUAAAAGCAAAUUUGGAUUCAAGAUUUGGUAAUUAAAUUGAAGCAGUUACUAAGGUUCCAAAAUCUGCACACAUCCACACAAAAAAACAAGAAAUAAUCAUGGAACAGGAUAAGAAUCACUCAAAGGGUUAAUCAAUCUAGGGUUCUAAGGAAAAACCCAAUUUCACCGACUCAAAAACAUCACUGAAAUCUUGAAAAUCGGUGAAAGUGCUCCAGCUCCAGCGCCGGAGAAGUACCCGAUCAAUGACCCGUUCCGUUUUCCAACUCAGAUGAAUGGAGGUCCACUCACCAGUUGAUAAUAUUUUCCAUGCCAUUAGAGGAAAAUCACAAGCUUGACAAAUGUCUUUUUCAAGAACGCGAUAUGACAUUUUUUUCACAAACAGAGCAUUCUUUUGUAUGAAAUGACAAAAAUUUAUCUAAACACCGGGAAAUACUGUAUUCUUUCUUUUAGAGAUGGUCACACAUAUUCGUCAGGUUUGUGAUUCUCCUUACACAUAACAUGAAAGAUUAUCAUUUGAUAAGACGGACAACCAUUUCUAGCAUCUAAGAAAGAAAAAGGAACGAGAUUGACCGAUCUGGAAAAAACUAAACACGUGUUAGGAUAUGAAUCUUUCAACAUUUAUAACCAACCAGAAAGUGAGAUGUGAUGAAGUGUUCUCACUUAGUAAUAAAUGCAUUUUACUACUUUUGAAUAAUAGAAGAUUACAUUAACUGAAAAUAAACAACGAGAAGAUUAUAAUAAUUAUUUGGCUAAAGGGCACAGAUAGUUAUUGCAAACAAAUACAAAAAAGUAGAGAUUACAGUAAUUGGUUAGCACUUCUUUUAAGUUAGAAAAAUUAAUCAACUUCAAACUAGGUGUUCACACUAAACAGUUUGGUUUGACUCAAUUUUCCUUCUAAGAAAACAUAAAUUAAAUUAUUCCUAUGCUAGGAUCAAGGUUCAUUUGAACCAACAACUUAAUUGUUGCCCAGGCAUCUAAUGCUAUUUCGUGCUGACUGUUAUUCUACAAAGACAUUAAAGACUGUCCAAUUGUUUAACCCAAAAGGAAUGAAAGGACUUCAAACCUCAAAGAAAUCUGAGGAUCUUCAGCCAAUAAUUUUAGCCAAAAACAAUGGUGGAAUUACCCGUGGAGGAGGCUAUUAGCUCAGAACUAUCAACAUUAUGUCUCUAGAGGAAUAAAUGUCCCAUAAUAGCCAUAUGUCAUAUACACCCUCAAUGGGAUAGUCAACAUAAGCGAUACUAUGUGAACCCUCUCUCUCUCUACAAAUAGGAAAGCAUAAGCACUGCGCAACUAUUACUGUUCAUACUAACUCUUAUCCACAACAUUCUAGGAACGAGUCCCUCAACAACAAUGUUAGUUGAAAAGCUUGCAGCUAUUUUGUCCGCGUGACACAUUACGGUUGCAACACUUGCAAAAAUUUCAUGACCAUUACGGUUGCAACACUUGCAAAAAUUUCAUGACCUAAUCAAAUUGCAGUAGCAGAUCACGCCUUCAGAUUUUAAGUUUGCACUUUGAAAAUUACCAGAGUAUUGAAGUUCUUUAAAAGGUCUCCUAAUAACUUUCCACUAAUUUCGGGCUGCUUGUUAUUUCUAGUUUGUAAGCUUUCUGCCACAACAUACUUGGUUUUAUCUUUCCUUCCAGACAUUCCACCAAAUGCAUGCUGGUAUAGCCCUCCACCAUCUCUUCUUCCUUCCCCAGCCACCUACAUUGUUCCAGCACCUCAAAAGAUCACAAGUAGUACUGGGCAUAAUCCAAGUUGUAUUCACCAAUGCAAGGAAUAACUGUCACAUACUUAGUUUUAUCUUGACGUACCAAGUUGCAUAGAGUGACUUCUUUGAGAGUUCACUAGUUUGACUUCUUAGUAGUUGUGCAAAUUGGCUCCAGUACGAGUACGACAAUCAAGAAUUAACAGUCUUGAGUCAAGACAUGUCACCAAGGUUCUAUAUCUAGCUCUUCAGCUUGCUUUCUAGAUGCAUACACACUAACAACAACAACAACAACAACAACAACAACAACAACAUACCCGGUGCAUACUCACUAAUAGAUGUAAUAAAAAAGGUAAUUGCAACGCAUAUGAAAAGAGGCUAUCAUAUAAGUAAAAUAAGGCCCAUAAAGUGUGAAGAACUGAAAACAACAUAUUUUAUCCCUAUUCAAAGAGCAUGGCUCAUUUAAGAGAUUCCUCGUUAUGAUGUGAAAAAUCAUAAUUAUUCAAAGACAUGUAAUAUUCAUAGUCAACAAUGGAAGUACAUAGACACAGACACAAAAGAAACCAAGCUUUAGAAAACAACAAUGAUUAGAAGUUAUAGUUGUCAGUACGAAUCAGAAUAAUUAGAAAAUAUGGAGUGUCUCCAAUAAGGAAUUGUCAGCAUAAAAAACCCCAACCCAAAAGGGGAAAAAAGGCAUUUCAAUCUUCAAAGUGUCCGAGAAGCUCCAGAAAAUAAAUUUAGUCAGCACAAAGGUGUAAUCACCUGUAUCAUCAUUAUGAAUAAUGCUCCUUACUGCCAUAAGUCUGAUAAUCACCAGGAAAUGAGAAAAUAAAGGACAGGGUAGUUCUAUGCUUCCCACCAAAAGAGAAACACUUCAGCAAGUUCUAAGGAAGUUAGGAACUUGACUUCUUUUGAAACUGUUACAUUAGGUUUUGACUAGAUAUUUGCAGGGUCACAGGGGAUAGGUGCCGAAGCCAAAUUCCAUGUCCCCCCCCGGGGGGGGGGGGGGAGUUAAGAAAGUGGUAGAGGUAAAACAUUACAUCAGAUCUAGUGAGGCAAUAUCAUAGCAAUUCUGGCAUGCAAUUGAUGCAUACGUAGAUGCAAUCAUACUUCUGGCGCUCAUUUUCAUCUACACAUCUUAUUUUCAUAGUAAGAUUCUAUAGUAGGAUAAAUUUAUUCCAUUCUAAAUAUCUACUUAUACAUAAGAGUAUCCAUACUUCAACAUAUAUCUAAUAAGAAAAGGCAUGUCAACUAUAGCUUUUACUAUUUCUAAGACAUGAGAGCACACUAUCGCCUUAACGUAUUGACAAGAAAUAAACUGGUAGAAUCACACAAUACUUCUCCCCGACAGGACGCUACAUUCUGCACCAUAACAGGUAUAACAGGUAAUUAACCAAGCCGAUUUCAGCAAAUAUGAAAAGUAAUCAGUAACUAAGAAAUCCUAUCAUGAAACUUUAAUAACCUUUCACUCUCCUGCAACAGAACUUGAUAAUCCCUUGGAAUCAUAACGGAAUUCAAGUUCAAAACUUUGGGAAAUGGAUGAAACUAAUCAUUACAGGAUUGAAGAAAGCACCAAUAAGCUAUAGCAAAAAAGAAGUAAAAAUGUGAAAACUUAACUAAAAGUGAACACUAAAGAAGCCCUAGUUAAAUGCUUCUCACAGCUCAAAGUUAUUUACUUUAUUGUUAAAAUCAGAAAUGCUUAUUAAACUCAACAGCACACAGGAAAAAACUAAAUUUUGAAGGAAAAAUUUAUCAGCAAAUUUAGUUUUACUUAAAAGAGAAAAAUUAGUCCGAUCAAUUAAGAACAGACUUAGCAACAUGCUCUUGAUGGUCUAUUAGUUACAGCAAUUUAGGGUUCAAAUUUGGGGAUUUAAACUGAAGCAGCUUACUAGGGUUUCAAAAAGCUGAAACCUACUCACAAAAAAUCAACAAGAUUUAAUUCGAAGGGAUAAUCAAUUUAGGGUUUUGAAUAAAAAGAACAGCUUUUUUAAAAAGCAUCACCGGAAUCCUGAAAAAACCGGCGAAAGAUCGCCGGCGCCGGAGAAGGAUCCGAUCAAAUACUUGUUUCUUUAUCCGACUCAGAAACAUGGAGAUCCAAUUACCGAUUGGUACUAUUUUCUAUGCCAUCAAAGGAGAAUCACAAGCCUGACAAAUAUGUCACUUUCCAAAAA